GGUACGUUUCUGGGUGAACCGCCAAUAAACCAAAAGAAGAAUACGUCAUCACGCCGAGCGCUGAAAAGCGGAGAGCGCUUUCUCUCCUCUCUCAUUCGACCUGCAGCCCCGCUCCUCAUCUGUUCCAUACCUGCCAGGGAAAAGCUACUCUUAAAGAUGUCGGACGAGGGUAAAUUGUUCAUCGGAGGACUGAGCUUCGAGACCAACGAGGAGUCUCUGGCUGCGGCCUUCGGCAAAUACGGAACCAUCGAAAAAGUGGAUGUGAUCAGAGACAAAGAGACGGGAAGAUCUCGCGGUUUCGGCUUUGUGAAAUACGACAAUGCAGAGGAUGCAAAAGACGCAAUGACGGCGAUGAACGGCAAGUCUCUAGAUGGUCGGGCUAUUCGCGUGGAUGAAGCAGGAAAGGGCGGACGCACCAGAGGAGGAUUUGGAUCAGGCCAGAGAGGAGGCAGGUUCAGUGGAUCCCGGGGGAGAGGUGGGAGAGGUUACUCAAGAGGUGGGGGAUACAAUGGCGAAAGGAGCUAUGGAGAGAGGAGUUAUGGGGACAGGAGCUUCGGAGGUGGAGACAGGAGCUUUAGCAGUGGUGGAGGUGGCGGCGGCGGAUACAGGAGUGGAGGAUACUCUUCAGGUGGUGGCUACAGAGAAAAUAGUAAUUUCUAGGGGUCAGGGUGGAUAUGGUGACCGCUCUGGAACCUACCGCGAUGGAUAUGAUGGCUAUGCUGCACACGAGUAAACAUCUCCCUGAUUCAAGAUCAUCACUUGGCUGGCUGUAUUUCAAAGAUGCGCUCCUCAAGAAAAAUGUCCACGUGUUAUUGCUGACCUUAGUUUUGUAGUUCUGUUGUAGUAGCUCAAGCAUCUUAAAAAAUGUAGCCAUGAGUUAUGGUCAUUCCUUAACAAACCAUGUUACAAAUUACAGUUCAAGACUCUUACCAUGCUUGAUUGGGCACCUUUAUUCCUCAAAGGUCGUUUGUUAACUAAAAGGCAUCUGUGUAAUCUGAUUAAUACUUUUAAGUCCCAACUUGGGGAUCAAACAACGGCUCUCCACAUGGCUUUUCGUUGAACGGCCACUACAUCGCUGUAGACUUUUUGUCCAGCACGUUAAAGUGUCUCCUGAUUUUGAUUCCUUAUUUAGUUUUUGUUUUUUUAUAUUGAAAUAUCCGAUGGGGCUUGUUUGUUUUUUUUCCCUUAUUUUCCCCUGUCAGCCUCUGACUGACCUACCUCUUGCCAGGUUUUAAACUGAGUGAGGAAAGAGAUCUAAUUGCUCGUAAACAGGCUUUUGGGGGAUUGUGCUAAAUUCCUUUUACUAUUAAAAAGAAAAAAAACUUAGUUUAGCUGAGGCUCCUGUGUGUUCAAUUUCCCAAAAGCGUGAAUUCCUUUCAGACUGGUGAACUACACCUCCGAAGUGGCCGGCUGUUCAUGAAGUCUGUCCAAGGUAUCUUCUGUGCUCUGCUCAACAUCUGCAUUUUAAAUGUGCUGUAAAAUGGACUAAUCUUGUUUAAGUGAUCGAAAAAUGUAACUUCGUUUCCCCAAAGUAAAAUCUCAACCGGGAACAGUUUUGUACUUUAUGUUCUUUGUAUGAUCAACUUUUUUUUUUCUUUGUCAGUUUGGCUUCAUGGAGCCUAUUAAACAGACUGUGGAAAAUAA